AACGAACGCUGGCGGCAUGCCUAACACAUGCAAGUCGAACGAGACCUUCGGGUCUAGUGGCGCACGGGUGCGUAACGCGUGGGAACCUGCCCUUAGGUUCGGAAUAACUCCCCGAAAGGGGUGCUAAUACCGGAUAAUGUCUUCGGACCAAAGAUUUAUCGCCAUUGGAUGGGCCCGCGUUGGAUUAGCUAGUUGGUAGGGUAAAAGCCUACCAAGGCGACGAUCCAUAGCUGGUCUGAGAGGAUGAUCAGCCAGACUGGGACUGAGACACGGCCCAGACUCCUACGGGAGGGAGCAGUGGGGAAUAUUGGACAAUGGGCGAAAGCCUGAUUCAGCAAUGCCGCGUGAGUGAUGAAGGCCUUAGGGUUGUAAAGCUCUUUUACCCGGGAUGAUAAUGACAGUACCGGGAGAAUAAGCUCCGGCUAACUCCGUG
rnacentral:rRNA from 1 species